rnacentral:rRNA from 1 species
GACGAACGCUGGCGGCGUGCCUAAUACAUGCAAGUUGAGCGCUGAAGGUUGGUACUUGUACCAACUGGAUGAGCAGCGAACGGGUGAGUAACGCGUGGGGAAUCUGCCUUUGAGCGGGGGACAACAUUUGGAAACGAAUGUUAAUACCGCAUAAAAACUUUAAACACAAGUUCUAAGUUUGAAAGAUGCAAUUGCAUCACUCAAAGAUGAUCCCGCGUUGUAUUAGCUAGUUGGUGAGGUAAAGGCUCACCAAGGCGAUGAUACAUAGCCGACGUGAGGGGGUGAACGGCCACAUUGGGACUGAGACACGGCCCAAACUCCUACGGGAGGCAGCAGUAGGGAAUCUUCGGCAAUGGACGAAAGUCUGACCGAGCAACGCCGCGUGAGUGAAGAAGGUUUUCGGAUCGUAAAACUCUGUUGGUAGAGAAGAACGUUGGUGAGAGUGGAAAGCUCAUCAAGUGACGGUAACUACCCAGAAAGGGACGGCUAACUACGUGCCAGCCGCCGCGUAA